UACGUAGGGUGCGAGCGUUGUCCGGAAUUACUGGGCGUAAAGAGCUCGUAGGUGGUUUGUCGCGUUGUUCGUGAAAACUCACGGCUCAACUGUGGGCGUGCGGGCGAUACGGGCAGACUGGAGUACUGCAGGGGAGACUGGAAUUCCUGGUGUAGCGGUGAAAUGCGCAGAUAUCAGGAGGAACACCGAUGGCGAAGGCAGGUCUCUGGGCCGAUACUGACGCUGAGGAGCGAAAGCCGUGGGGAGCGAACAGG
rnacentral:rRNA from 1 species